GGAAAAGUGGCUGAGUGGUUUAUAGCGGAAAUCUGCUAAAUUUCUAUAUAGAAAUUCUCUAUAUCGUGGGUUCGAAUCCCACCUUUUCUA
rnacentral:tRNA from 1 species